AUUCCUGCGAGGAGGACGUAAUUAUGCUACACUUCAGUCUACCCCCAAACGAUCUGUUGGCACUGAAACAGAUGCUUCAGAACUGGACCACUACUCAGAUGAUGAAGCCCCUCUUGCUACACCUAGAGGAUGUGGGGACACAUGGGACUCCACUUCAUGUGCUGAUCACAAGGCUGAAACACUUGGCAUUGGAGAGAGGACACUGUCUCAUAGUAAAUGGGGAGUUGAUAGCUUAGGACCAGAACCUGCAGAAGGGACGGAUGAUGUGAUGACAGAAAUUACGGAGUCAUGUGUGUAAUGUGUGAUGGUGUCUAGUACAUAGGAGUGUGUACAUAGCAAAAAUUGGCAAUAUAGAACAGACACAGUCCUUCAUUCAGUCUCGUACCAUCCCUGCUUCCCAUGUUCUCGAGUGUAUCCUUCAGGUAUGUUGUCCUCUUUGGCAGUUUGCAGUAUUUUUAAGCAUAUAGGCAUUUUGAAAUUUUCUGUGCAUUGGGACAUAUUUGUAGAUAUAAUUUGUAUGUCUCAGGUGGUUUUGUUAUGUGGCAGUUACUCUAAACCGUGCUGUAAGUCUUUUGAGUAUCAUACAAAAACGUUAUCCUUGGAUUUUACUAUAGGUUUCUAUGUUACAUUUUAUUCAGUGUAUGCACCAAUACUUCAUAUAACUUAAAAUGAAAAGAGAAAAAUUUGGUCACUGAUUUUUGGCAGUAACAUUGCAAGAGACAUUUGUUUCAGAGUUGGUAAUGGUUUGGAUCAAGAGCUACUCUUUAACCCAUCCCCCACUCUCCAUUAACAGAAGAUGCCUUAAGCCCAUUCAUUGUAUUGGACUCUCAUGUAUACUUGAUAGUGCCGCAGUAGAUCAAGUAGUCUUACACAGAGCUGUAAAAUAAAUGCAGUUCUUUUUUUAUCUAGCGUUGGAUUUUGGGUGUUAUGAUUUUUGUUAUGCGCUUGUUGCUCCCCCUGGCACAGGGUGGAUGAACGAUACCAUUCCGUCGAUUGAGUUAUAAGAAAGUGUGUGCUAGUCAGAUUUGUUUGAAUCAUUUCCUCCUCCUCCCAAUUCAUAUUGUUACUUGUUGUAUUUACUUAACAUGAGAUGUAGACAACCUCCACAUUCCAUUGUUCCAUAUCCACCUGAAUGCUAGUCUGUACAUAGUUUUGCAUGUUUGUCUUGCUAAGUUGACUUACUGAACCAAAGUCUUAGCACUUAUACAGUCAGAGUUAGGACUUUCUUUCAAGAAGCAGAUUUUCAAAACAGUGGUCUUCAAUCACAGUUGCUUGUCUCUAAUUAAUUUGGAGCAGUAAAAAUAUGUUAUUAUUAGUUUGUUGCAUAACCACCCAUCUCAUUCCUAGCAUAUACUCUUUCAAAGGCAUUCAUGCUUCCUAUCUUGACACCCUUCUGUCAUCAUUAAUGACAGAUGGAAAUUACAAAUGAAACCCCUUGUUUAAAAGUAUCAUGUCACGCAGAAGCAAGAUUCCAGUUAUCUAAUGUCACUCCUACCUUACAAGUUAAUGCAUAUGCCAUGUUCCUAUUACCAGUUGCAGAAAAUUAAAAAAGUUUGAGUUUGGGUUGGCUUCCAUGUGUAUAAUGUCCACACUAAAUUUCAUCAAAAUCUAUUCUACUGUUUUAAAAUUGAAAUGUGAACAGACACACGUGAACAGCCCUGUAUGUAUUCAUUUCAUUGUACAAAGAACACACAGUAACUAAAAGACUGUUAUAACAAAGUGGCCUAUUGGCUCGUCAGGGAAUCAAUUUUCACUUCUCAUAGGAGAGGGCCUUCUUUGGCAAACACUGAGUGUUGCCAUAUUCUGUACUUCUGAGGAAUAUAUGACAUUUCCCCACCCUCUCUUUUAUAAGCAUGAUACAGAUGGAAUCUGAGUAAAUAUUGCGUGUCUGAAACUAAUUUAUUGGAAUUAAGAUUAUUGGCUUAACAGCUGUGCAUGUUAUUGGCUACCAGUUUCUGAAUGAGAAUAAUUUUCAAAAUAUUUUUUGUGUUUUUGCUGUGAAAAUCAUGCAUGAUUAUUAAGGUGUCAUACAACACUGUGUGGAAUAUAGCAUGAUCUUGUUUGCUUCCAGAAGGUGCAUUAGAAACAAUGAUUGACAAAAUUCAGUUUAUAAUUAUAACAGUUUUAAUUGUGCUCAGAUAAGUAGGUCUGAAAGAGGUAAGUCCAUUAUUCUGAAAAUUGCAUUUUAAGAGUGACUGAUAAUUUUAAUUCCUGACAAAAUGUAUUUGAGCUGAUAUAGUGUCAUAUUUUGAAAUGAAUCAAUUUGAAAAUGUUUAAGUAAUAAACAGUACUUGUAAGAUGUCACCUUCUACAGAUUCUGUGGAAAGAUUGAACAUUUGGGAUGUAUUUGUCCAUCAGUCCUAAAAAUUGUCCCCUCCUCUUGUACUGAACAGACAUACAUUCAGAUCAUUGAUAAAUGUUGAGCUCAAUUGGAUGGCUUCUUUUUUUUGUUUGAUCUAUUUGUCACUUCUAUAAUGAAGGAAAUUCCAGGAAGAGAGUGCAUUCAUACUACUUAUGCUUCCCAUUCCAUGGCACUGAUUCUUAAGUGUUUAGGGCCAGCUUCAUGAGGAAUGCAUGUUAUAUUCAGAAUUAAGAAGGACUUGCUUGAGUUAGAGUACUUAACUCUUUUACUGUGUACAAGAUGCCAGGCCGCUUAAUAAAUUUCAAAUAUUAUUUUUAAUUCAAUGUUAUUGUUCAAAUACUUAACUAUCUUUUCAUUCACCCGAAGAUUCAGAAUCAGCAAAUAAAAGAAUUUACCAUUGUCAUCUUGAGAAGUUUGUUUACAUCUAACAGAAGUAAUGGCUACCACAUCAUAACGAUGUCACCACAACCUGAAAAACAAAACAAUAUCUUACAUCUUACAAGAGAAAAUAUAUAUAUAUUCCAAAAAACAGACUGGCUGCUAGUGUACAUCAUAUGUUUGCAAAGAUAUAUCUUUUGAAUAAUGUUAAGUAAGAUGAAUAUAAAUAAAAAUUUCUUCUUUCUGUCAGAAAAUUGUAUGUAAUGUUUUUCUUGUGCAUAGUUAACCUUAUUUUGAAGGCAUUCAAGGCAUGAUAAGUACAUAUGCAAUGCAGUCUGUCAUGUGUCAUCUUCAAGACCAAUGUAACGAAUGUGUAGAAUGUAAUCAGUCAGUUGGAAAUUUAAGCAGUGUCUUUUGCUUCUUCAAACAAUUUUUAGAUGAGGCAUUAGUAGCAAAUACUACUAUAUUUGGUGCAGAAUUUUAGACUGGAUACAAGUUUUGGGUUCAUGAAAGUAUGGUGUCUGUGGCAGUGUAUCUUGCAAGAGUAGUUACUCAUUUUCAGUAAUUUGCAUCUGAACAAUUUUUUGGUAUUCAUGGAAGUUGUAAUAUAAUAAUGACUUAUAGCUCUUUAUGGUAAAUGGCUUAGGGAGUUGCAUGUCUGCAGUCUCAUUAAUUACAUUCAAGUGCUAGAAUUUAUUAGACAUUAAUUCAGCUUUGAGAAUAUCAUAAAUGUUCUGGUUUGACAGGUUAACACAUUUACUGUUUAGCAUGGUUGUACCAUACAUGAUAUUGCGUGAACAUAUAAACGUUAAAGAGAGCUAUGAUAUUACUUUGUAUGCUCAGUUUAGUAUGAACACACAAGUUUGACUUUUGUUUUGAUGUUAACUGUUUAGAUAGUGGUAAAUUGUUUAAACUUACAUGGAAGAUAUGAACCACAUUAAGAAAAUAUCUACAAUAUUUUUGUGUCUGUAUCUAAGGUGACGGGUGGAAAUUAUCAUUUUUUGAGGUUGAGCUAAAAAUUUAAGAAUAUUUCUUUGAGCACCUUGACAGCUAGUGUCACUCCUUAUUGAUAAACUUCCAGUUUAUCUCAGAAUCUGAAUCUGUUAAGUUUGUUAGUACAGCUGCUUGAUUUAUCUUUCAUAAUAAUUUCUAUCAUAGUUUGUUCAUUAUUUACAUUGCUGUAUUAUGUUUACAGUAUUCACAAAUCUAUCCUUACCAAUAGAAAUUUAUUUUUUCUUUGUUAUUUGUUUGUGUAAUAGUGGUGCAUGUUGAGAUUAGCGUAAAUGGAAACUAGUACCCUGUCAUCUGUGUUUUGUGUACUUGCUGCACACAAGCAGUGCCAUAGUGCCUCAGAAACAGUGCAUUGAAAAGCUAUAGGUAGAUAGGUAUGUGACAGAACACAUCAUGUGCCUUAAUGUAACCUUAUCACUAACAAGAACUCCACUCAUUUUCAAAAGGAGUUCAUUCAGUCCCUGCAAUUUCCACUGCUCUUGCACCAAACAAAAGUUUGACAUUAAAUGCACUGAAAAUACUAAUUGCCUGCACAUUUACAUGUUUAGUAACUGAUGAUUGGUAUUUAGAAACAAAAUAUGGGUGUAAGAAGCUUGUUUCAAUUAAAUUAGAGGUACAUUGGGACUAAGAAAAGGAUAAGUGUAAGAACAAAUUUAAAUUUAGCCAACAUUUGUCAGAGUCUAUUUUAUUAUUUCUAAUGAAUAUUGUAACUUAAACUUUCCUCUUCUUAGUCCUGUGCAGGCAUUAAAAAUGUUUAUCAAUCAUAUUUGAAGGCAUUGUAAGCUUUUUAUUAUGCCUAUUGUGGUUUUCAUUCUCAUUGUAGAUCUGGUUCAAUACAGCUACUGUAGUUAUUGUUCUGCCUGUUUGACUUCUUUCUAUUUUGACUUUGGUUGUUUUUCUGUUUUUGUAUAAAGUUAUUGAUACAAAAUUUACAGUGAAUUUCUGUUAGGUUUUGUGUCAUUAUUUAAUUGAAAAUAUUAUAGUAAUAAAUCUUUUUAUUAUGA